CUUGCCUCCUCUCCUGAUCCCAUCCUAUACUCUGCUUUGCUGUGCAGGCAAUGCUGGGAAUAUUUGCACCAAUAUAGAGUAUUCCUUUUAGAUAUCUUCAAUUUAAUACCAAUGGGGAGAUAUUCACAGGGAUACAGAAAAAUAUUCACUUCUUUCCUGGAAAACAGAACCUCAGAGGUAAAGCUGAACAGAGCAGGUGAGUUAAUUUGAAUAAUUAAAGCACAUGAAGGGUUACUGUGAAGAGGACUAGGUCCAGCUGCUUUCUCUCACACUUGUUAAAAGCUGGAACAGGCUGUAGAUAGAGCAUGGAGCCACCAAAUAGAGGAAACCUUGGCUUGAGAUGAGGUCUGAAAAUUCAUCCUCUGAAAAUGAAAUGAAAAUGAGCCUCCUAUUCUGUGUGUAUAAACACUCAAUAAAAAAGUGGAGUACUUUUGCUAAUGAAAUAUUUCAAAGCCUUCAGCAAAAGACCAAGGGUCUACCCAACGUGUGAAGGAGCUGUGCACACAUUUGUGUUCAUUCUUCUCAUAACAGCUGCCCCUUGACCAACCCAUCAUAGAGGUGUGCACACCAGAAGAAGUGUCCACUCUGGGGUGGAGGGACUCAAGAAAAGGCUUGUGCCAGCACUGAAAUUCUGGGGUUCCUGAUACCUGGACCAUGGUUUAAAAGGAGGGGUAUAGGCUCUAGGUGGGCAUGUCUUCUUGGCUCCUUGGGCCCCUCACCCCAUGGCUGGAGAAGGACCAGAAUGAGUGCCUCUAAAUUAUGGAGAUCGAAGGUUGCCGUAUACAAAGUGACCGGAGCAGAGUGACAUGAGACAGAAUGACCCACGAUCUCUGAGUAGGAAGGCAACUUAAAUGGAUGAAGAUAAAAUGAAUGGAUCCAUGACACUCAAUGGGCAUUCUUACGAUCCUUAAAUAUGAUACAUGGCGAUAAUUUUACAAGCCAAGAUAGCAAAAGCGGAGCUGACAUUUAAUUGACACCGCCAAAGCAUGGCUUGAUGAGCAGUGUGUAGGUCUGCCCCCGGGAUCUGAACCCACAAACCCUGGGCAGCUGAAGUGGAGUGUCCUAACCUAACCACUACGCCACUGGGCUGGCCCCAGAAGUUUUUAAUUAAGAGGGAUUCAGUAAGGAAGACAAGUAAAGGUUUAGAAGUCAGGUAAUUAUUUUCCUUUACCCUUAUUUUGCUUUAUACUCAGAUGACAUGAUCUUUUAGAAGGCAAGGCAAACAUCUACACACAUAUAUAUCUUUUUUUAUAAUUAUAAGAAAUGCACUGGCACAGACUGUUGUUUCUUAACGAGACCCUCAAGCCUAUGAGUCCUUCCUACUGAUGUAAUUUCUGACCCUUCCAUAAUUGUAAUGACUCACAGUCCUGAAACCCACUGAGUGAGUGGGGCUAUUGAUUUUAUGGUGAUCUAUACCAAAGUAAAGAUUUAUAAGUGUGUGGAUCUUGACGACUGUGCUACUUAAAAAGACCUGAAACAAGUGAAACACUGGUGAGCUGAAAUAGGUUUGCUGUAAAGAUUUGAAUCCAUGAGGACAGGACAACAUCCUCCCCACAACAAGGAAGUCUUUGGUUAAAGUGGUGAAAUGAGCACAGCAUCAAGCUAUCCCCUCCCAAAUUGUCAUAGAGUGACACAUAGACCACGUCAAAAAGGAAA
ensembl:lncRNA